rnacentral:rRNA from 1 species
UUUUAUUGCUGAAACUGCGGAAGGCACAUUAAAACAGUUAUAAUUUAUUUGAUCUUACAACACUUUUUCUCUGAUUUUUCAGAGUAAUUGAUUUUUUUUUCAAUUACCAAGAUGAAUCAUGAUGACAGGGAAAAGUUCUUUUAAAAAAGAACCAAUCUUUAAAAUAUCGCGGAUCAAAAGAUCAUGCGAGGGAUCAAGAAAGCAUCUGACCUAUCAUACUGUCGAUGGUGGUAUAUAGGACUACCAUGGUAUUAACGGGUAACGGGGGAUUAGGGUUCGAUUCCGGUGAGGGAGCCUGAGAAAUGGCUACCACUUCCAAGGAAGGCAGCAGGCGCGUAAAUUACCCAAUAACGACUUGUUGAGGUAGCGACAAGAAAUACCAAUGUAUUAUCUACAUGAUAAUAUGUUUGGAAUGAGACCAAUUUAAAAACUUUAACGAGGAACAAUUGGAGGGCAAGUCUGGUGCCAGCAGCCGCGGUAAUUCCAGCUCCAAUAGUGAGUGUUAAAAUUGUUGCAGUUAAAAAGCUCGUAGUUGGAUUUCUUCAAAUAUUCCUAAAAACUCAAAAGUAAAAUAAAUACUUUUUUGUAUUUUUUUACAUAAAUUUUGUUAUUUUUGGAAUUAUUUAAAAAAAAUGCCUUUUUUUAAAAUUUAAAAGUUAAAACUUUUAUUUUUUUAAUAAAAAAAAAAAAAAAAAGGAGAUUUACCUUGAAAAAAUUAGAGUGUUCAAAACAGGCUUAAUAAAAAGCCUUGAAUAAAUUAGCAUGGGAUAAUAAAAUGGAUUCUGAUAUAAAUAUUUGGUUAAAAGAUUAAGAAUUUUUUUUAAAAAAAAUUCUUAAUAAAUAUUUUUCGUUAUUUUCAGAAUAACGAUUAAUAGGGAUAGUUGGGGUCAUUUAUAUUCAGUCGUCAGAGGUGAAAUUCUAGGACCGAUUGAAGAUAAACCAAUGCGAAAGCAUCUGACAAGGAUGUUUUCAUUAAUCAAGAACGAAAGUUGGGGGAUCGAAGAUGAUCAGAUACCGUCGUAGUCCCAACCGUAAAUAAUGUGGACCUAGGAUCCACAGGUGAUAAUAUCAUAUGUCCCCCUGGGCACUAAAGUGAGAAAUCAUAAGUAUUUGCAUUCCGGGGGGAGUAUGGUCGCAAGGCUGAAACUUAAAGGAAUUGACGGAAGGGCACCACCAGGAGUGGAACCUGCG